rnacentral:sRNA from 1 species
GCCGGGUGCAGUGGCACACGCCUGUAAUCCCAGCGGCUCAGGAGGCUGAGGCAGGAGGAUCGCAAGUUCAAAGCCAACCUCAGCAAAAGUGAGGCACUAAGCAACUCAAUGAGACCCUGUCUCUA